UUAAAUUGAAGAGUUUGAUCAUGGCUCAGAUUGAACGCUGGCGGCAGGCCUAACACAUGCAAGUCGAGCGGAAACGAGUU
rnacentral:rRNA from 4 species